AUCCAACCGACGUGUCCUAAUUAGAACGAAACGUGUGUUCUGGAU
rnacentral:hammerhead_ribozyme from 1 species